rnacentral:rRNA from 1 species
UACGUAGGUGGCGAGCGUUGUCCGGAUUUACUGGGCGUAAAGGGCGUGCAGGCGGUUUGUUAAGUGCAGGGUGAAAGCUCCCGGCUCAACUGGGAGAGGUCCUUGCAUACUGGCGAACUCGAGGGAGGCAGAGGAAAGUGGAAUUCCCGGUGUAGUGGUGAUAUGCGUAGAUAUCGGGAGGAACACCAGUGGCGAAGGCGGCUCUCUGGGACGGUACUGACGCUGAGACGCGAAAGCGUGGGGAGCGAACAGG